AUGCCUCAUCCAGAUUCGCGACUAACCACCUCAGCAUUACUCCAGCCAGUUCAUUCCUGCCAUAACCAAUCCAUAACCUGUAACAGAAAACCAAGAAAACUUCAAACAGAAAAUCAAAAACCAACUAACUGUCAAACACAUUCCCCAACCAUUUCUAACUACCUAACUUACCCCUAUAAAACAGAAAUUAGAUUCACAACAAAAGGGAUUGAUAACAAUAGGGAGAAAAUAAAAACUCACCAAGGAUCUGAGGACUCUCGCAGUAUUUCUCUACCAUCUCCUUUGCAUCAAGAUCUUCAUCAUCAUCGAACAAUCCUC